AAUAUUGCGAUUCCCGUUACGGAAGUUACCUGAGGAUCAAGCAAUAAGUAAAGGGAGCGGGAGUCAGAUGCGGUGUGCAGGCCUCCAGAAGCGAGGAGGAAGCCUAAAGCAUCUGCCGAAGCACCCACUUAAACAAAAGAGCUCAUGGUAUUCCGAAGACGGGAACGCAAAAUAUAU
rnacentral:other from 1 species